rfam:Zea mays cultivar B73 chromosome 8, whole genome shotgun sequence.
GUUCCCAGUGAUGGUAUAUAUUAACCAUGCUAAUACUGAUGUCCUUUGACGAGUAUAACAAUGUGCUGAGGGAGCU